rnacentral:rRNA from 1 species
UACGUAGGUGGCAAGCGUUGUCCGGAAUUAUUGGGCGUAAAGCGCGCGCAGGUGGUUCCUUAAGUCUGAUGUGAAAGCCCACGGCUCAACCGUGGAGGGUCAUUGGAAACUGGGGAACUUGAGUGCAGAAGAGGAAAGUGGAAUUCCAAGUGUAGCGGUGAAAUGCGUAGAGAUUUGGAGGAACACCAGUGGCGAAGGCGACUUUCUGGUCUGUAACUGACACUGAGGCGCGAAAGCGUGGGGAGCAAACGGG